AAUAAUCAACGAUAGUUGCAUUCAUUUUGGCUAACUUUCAGCCAUAGAUUUUAAAGAUCAUCUUGUUCAUCUCAUAUAAGAAACGCCUUCGACCUAAUAAAAAAACUUCUAAUUACUGAUCCUAUUUCAUGAGCCCAAUGCUAUUUCAAAACUCCACGGGGCUGGCAGCGUUACCUUUACAUCAUCAAUCAUCUUGAGGAGAUGUCUCAUGGUUGGUCUUCGUUACGGCAAUGGGAGCAACAGAUGCCGCUGAUACGUUUUAAAGGUGCAAUCUGUCCUCAGCAGUUUCAUUUGCAGAUAUUCACCCCUGCGACUUCUUCCCUUACAGAAUGAACACGUCUGUAGAUCCGUGGCUUGUUCAUUUUGGAAGGACUGCAAUGGUAUUUUCCCAGUGAGAAGCUACAGUAACAAUACUCGAAAGCUUAGACAUCUGAUUUGGGUUCCAUCUUCUUGCUAGACUUCAUGCAUUCUGGGUUCGUGAAACCUAAGAGAGUGGAGUCGUCAGCUUACUCAAUGCCACAGACUAUAAGACAAAAUCUGUAAUCCAAGCUUCAAAAUUCUGUCCCAUAAGAACAUCUGCAGACUUGAGGUUUCCAUGAAUUAAUCUGGAUGCCUGAGCGGACAGGCCAAGCCGCAGGCUAUAUAUUCAUCAAUCUUGAGGCGGGAGUUUCAGUGUAAGGGCUUUCCCUCUUUGAGACCUGGCAUCUGAUAAACAAAAGAAUUUGGAUCUUUAUUGCCGCAUAAUUUUUUUUUUCUUCAUUAUAUAUCUAGAUUGCUACAGGGCAUGCUGUUUGUCAUCGUUCCAGGACCUCUGGGGUUUUAACAUUAAAUUAGUUUAAUCAUUUUAGACUUGGAUUGUUAGAUGGCAUAUUUGUCUUCUUUCUAGGGCUUCAGAGGUUUUGACACAAAAACCGUUUUCUUCAUUCUAGACCUGGAUUGCUACAUGACAUGUUGAUAGGGAUUCAGGGGCUUUGACAUUAAGAUUACCAGAUCAAUCACGAAAAUUUUCAGGAAACUCCGUUAUCCCUCCAGGCUCUGUGGGACGAAGCAAAAUCAGUAUAGAUUACAAAUUUUUGUGCAAGAAUUUUAUCUGCCAAGCAGCGAGUUUCAAGUAACGGAGCAUAUCCGGAUUUUGCGGCUAGAUGCAUUACAAUUUUUUAAGACAUGUAGAGUCCUGGAUUAAGAAAUAGGCGGCUAUACAAUGUUCUACUGCUUAGACUCUAGAGAAUCUAGCCUAAACUCUCUAGAAAAGUCUUGCCUGGUACAUGUUUUCUGAAGUUCAGAUUUUGAUCUAUAAAUGGAGACGCUUUUCAAAGAGCUGAGUAGAAUGUUGCAACAGCCUUCUACACCCUGGUACCAUACCUAACAUGUUCUCUACCAUUCUUUAUUACAUUAUCAAAUCAUAAAUGUUUUCUAACUGUUGAUAUAAGUUAUCAAAUCAUAAAUAUUUUCAACUGUUAAGAUCAGUAUUGUUUGGGACAUUGCUAAAGGUAACCUCAAGUGAACAAUAAGUGAUCUCAUAGUCUGUUGUUUUACUUAAACUUGGACAUUAUGUUCCUUUUCAAUAAUAAUCUUUGAAUUUCUUCUAUGAAAUGAGGACUGAAAGUAAAAACAAUUUUGCAGUCAAAAGUCUUGCCAAUGUAAAUGUCAUUUGUGCUGAUGAAAUUAAAAUUUUAUGAAAGAUAUUUAAUAAUAUGAACCAGAUCAACCAUUUAGGACAAUGCAGUUGCUAUGAAUAAGAGGAAAGAGACUUCUAUUAGGAUAAUUAUCAUAUCCCACGAGCUUCUCCUUCUUAAGAGUGGAAAUAAGCUCUCCGACGAACUAUAUUCUCAUGUCCGAGCUUUGCCGACCAUCUCCAUGUAUAAUAUAUCUUAUUAGAGUUCUUCAAUCUCUUCACCGUUACAGUUGUCUUAUUCUCCGUUACCACCUUGAAGAAGUCCCCGCAUUUCCUCUCUCCAUGAUUUUAGCAGAUGCACAAAGCGCAUCCUCCCAAGUAUACAUCUGGGUUUCUCCUCCACAGAACAUAAGAAUCCCAGACUUCGAUUUGUCUGGCCUAAUUGCCUUGACACUAUCAUAAAACUGCUCAAAUCUCUUGUCUUCAGCUGAAAGCUUUUCUCCUGCAUUUUUCUCUGCCUCAUCCUCUUGUUUCUCCAUUUUUUUGGUGAAAAGUAAAAAUAAGUUAUAACAAAAAACAUGGCCAAUAGCAACACACGGGAUCCUACCACAAACCCUGCUAUCUUCACCCCAGUUAGGUUUUUGUUCAUCUUCAUCAAUGGUCUUAAAUCCUCCUGUAACAGAGAGCCUGUGAAGGAGGUGCUAAAAUUAUAUGAUAGUGCUUGCCCAAUGGACUCCCACGGAGCCUUUGAUUUCCUAAGAAAGAAUUAGCUUUCAAAACAGACAGAGAUGCAUUACUUACUACUGGGUGUUGUUCCACUGAGCUCACUAUCGGACACAUUAAAUACCUUUAUAGCAGACAGAUCAAAAGCAGGAAUAAUGCCAUGAAGCCUAUAAUUAUCCAAUUGAGGAACUUACAAUCUCUAUAGACUCACCAUAUCUUUAGGUGUCUCAACACUCAACAAAUUGUAUGAUGGAACAUUAACUUCCAGAUGAUGUAGACUACUAAGAAACCCAAUGAUAGUGUAAUGUCCCAUUGGAUUUGCCCUAAAAUCACAAAUGCAAUAGAACGAGAGAUGAGUUAGGGUUAGGGUUAUUUCUUUACCAAGUAAAAUAUCCCUUUUUCUUUGCAAGAUAAGCCUUGAUUUAAAUUCUGCAACCAUAAAAUGAAGGACAUAUACUUUUCAAUUAUUAGGGCUGGAUGAUAACAUGUAAUAAUCUUAAAUCUAUAAAUAUUAAAUAGACAAAAAUCUAUAUAACUCCCUACUAUUCAAACGCAUUAGGGAUAGGUCCACCCGAAGCCAUCUCUGUACUAAGCCCAAGAGUGGACACUCACCCUCUUGGCCCUAGUGGCAGGCACAUUGGACAUUGUACCUGCUUUCCCUAUCCAUGCCUUAUCCCCUAAGUUCAAUAUUCAAUUAUCAUAGAGUCAGGAGAGGAGAUCGUAAUGGGGGGCUCCUUAAUAUUCCUAUCGAAGCCCAAGAGCGGAUCUUUGUCCUCUUGGCUCCAGUGGCAGGCACAAACAUCUAUUCGGGGUGGCCUACUUAGAUGAAGAUCUUAUCAUUACUCCCCUUUCUUACACCUCCUUUCUUCCCUAUAUGAUUGGGGGUUUACAAACAAAUUCAUAAUCACACAUGUAACUUACAUUAAGCAUAUAUAACAAAUUAUAUAAAUACUAGCAGAUAAUGCAUAGGUUGAACAUAUACCACAACAAUAGUUAUUAAUGCUAUUAGUUGUUUUAUAUGAGGAAUCUGGAUCUGAUCUAUUACUGGUCUGAUCCUUUGCUUGUAUCUGCUGUUCUUAAUAAUCUUUGCCUGAUUGGAUGAUUGUUGAUGUCGAUUCUAUGGAGGCUCUUCUCCAAAUGAUUGCUUGUUCUUCUUCGAUGCUGAUUGUUUAAUCUGCAUCUUGUAUCGAUAAGUAAUCUCCUUAUUUAUUGCUUUAUCAUUCAAAUCAGAUCUGCACUUCUGACUAUAGGUUAAAAGCUGUUUUUCCUUUAUUCCAUUCAUCCUUUCUGCGUGCCUCUCUAAUUGGAUUUAUCCUUCCUCUUAUAUGUUCUAGUGAGGAGUCACACCUUUUGACUAAGUCCAUUGCCCUUGCAAGGGAUGCCUCCCUUCAUAAUCACUGCCCCUGCUGUAUUAUUUUAAUUUUAAUUCCGUUUUCUUAUUUUGAAUGUAAUUGCUGCCUAGCAAACAUCCUUAAAUAUCCUUAAUUAACUAAAUCGGCCUCCCUCUAUUUAAGCAAAGGGGCUAUGCAAGAGUUUCUUACAUGGCCAUGGACACCUUACUCUAGGUUGGUCCUAUUUAAUUAUUUCGUUGCCUAGGAUAUUUUAUAAGGUCGGCCCUAGGAACAUCUUAUUCUAGAUCAGCCUUAUUUCGUUAUUUUAUUGCCUGGGAUAUUUUGUAAGGUCAGCGCUAGGAAUCUUCAUUAGUUCUACAUCUGAAUUUCAUCUAUAAAAGAUGCAAUCUCUUCCACAAGACAGGGGCAUGACAGAUAGAACCAGAAAACAAAUUAUGAUCUAACAGAUGUGCUUCAAAUUAACUAGGCCUGAAAGGUCAGGAAUGGGACCUGUAAGAGAGUUCCCCAAAGGCAGAGAAAGCAUAGCUGAUCAAGCAUUUUCAGCAACAUGGACAAAGUAUCCCUUAUACCUGUUUCACAUGCUGCAGUCCGUGAGCACAAGUGCUACUUAUCACCUCGUGGUCAACCUACAAUCUGAGCCUAUCUCACCAUCCCCCACCAUGGGCGCUGCUAUGUACUGGAUGGCUACCAGAAUUCAAUUUAUAUUGGCAGUACCUUUUGGAAUCUUGCCAAAUUUACCACCAACAAGAACGACACCAAUGGUAACUUCUCCAAUCUUACUGCUAUACCACAGCUUAUUAAUCCGAGAAUGGAACUGAUGAGCACACGAGAUGUCACUGCUGCUGUUUCAGGUGCAGGAGGUGGCGGCUCUGCCAGUUUUGGUUUAUCUCCAAUGUUGUUGCAACAGAAGCAGGGAUCCGCAGCAAUUCACUCAAGAUUUGAACUCUCUCCACACAAACCCACAAGUUGUUCAAGCCGGUGUUGCCCUAUCUGCCGUUGCCCUUUCCAAGAUUUAGAAGCGUGUAGAACAGGCCAUUCACAAUGUGAAGUUGUGUGAAGGAGGGGAGUAAAUGAAGGCAUAUAGGUAUUGGAAGAAGGCCAAACUUAGCACAAGAGCAUCACAUGCCAUUAUAUAAUUGCAUUACAACAUUUCUUAAAAAUGUGCCCUAAAUUAAAUGGGAAUUGACAUAUGUAUGCAAAUUUUACUACCAUGAGUAGAAAUGUGAUAUUUUAUUGGCAAUAAAUGUAUUUGUUGAUAUUGAGUCA